rnacentral:rRNA from 1 species
AGUGAACGCUGGCGGUAGGCCUAACACAUGCAAGUCGAACGGCAGCACAGUAAGAGCUUGCUCUUACGGGUGGCGAGUGGCGGACGGGUGAGGAAUACAUCGGAAUCUACUUUUUCGUGGGGGAUAACGUAGGGAAACUUACGCUAAUACCGCAUACGACCUACGGGUGAAAGCAGGGGAUGUUCGGACCUUGCGCGAUUGAAUGAUCCGAUGUCGGAUUAGCUAGUUGGCGGGGUAAAGGCCCACCAAGGCGACGAUCCGUAGCUGGUCUGAGAGGAUGAUCGGCCACACUGGAACUGAGACACGGUCCAGACUCCUACGGGAGGCAGCAGUGGGGAAUAUUGGACAAUGGGCGCAAGCAUGAUCCAGCCAUACCGCGUGGGUGAAGAAGGCCUUCGGGCUGUAAAGCCCUUUUGUUGGGAAAGAAAAGCAGCAGGUUAAUACCCCGCUGUUCUGACGGUACCCAAAGAAUAAGCACCGGCUAACUUCGUG